rnacentral:rRNA from 1 species
AGAGUUUGAUCAUGGCUCAGGACGAACGCUGGCGGCGUGCUUAACACAUGCAAGUCGAGCGGUAAGGCCCUUCGGGGUACACGAGCGGCGAACGGGUGAGUAACACGUGGGUAACCUGCCCUGUACUCUGGGAUAAGCCUUGGAAACGAGGUCUAAUACCGGAUACGACCACUGAUCGCAUGAUCGGUGGUGGAAAGUUCCGGCGGUAUGGGAUGGACCCGCGGCCUAUCAGCUUGUUGGUGGGGUAAUGGCCUACCAAGGCGACGACGGGUAGCCGGCCUGAGAGGGUGACCGGCCACACUGGGACUGAGACACGGCCCAGACUCCUACGGGAGGCAGCAGUGGGGAAUAUUGCACAAUGGGCGAAAGCCUGAUGCAGCGACGCCGCGUGAGGGAUGACGGCCUUCGGGUUGUAAACCUCUUUCAGCAGGGACGAAGCGCAAGUGACGGUACCUGCAGAAGAAGCACCGGCUAACUACGUGCCAGCCGCCGCGGUAAUAC